rnacentral:rRNA from 1 species
UACAGAGGGUGCGAGCGUUAAUCGGAAUUACUGGGCGUAAAGCGCGCGUAGGCGGCUUUGCAAGUCGGAUGUGAAAUCCCCAGGCUUAACCUGGGAACUGCAUUCGAGACUGCAUUGCUAGAGUAUGGGAGAGGGAAGUGGAAUUUCAGGUGUAGCGGUGAAAUGCGUAGAUAUCUGAAGGAACAUCAGUGGCGAAAGCGACUUCCUGGACCAAUACUGACGCUCAUGUGCGAAAGCGUGGGGCGCAAACAGG